GAGGAGGUCGGUAAGCAGGUGGAAAGUGCCUGCUAAGUCAGGGAGGGGGUGGGACAAUUUCCCUGAGAGUCAUGGGCCCCACUGCAGACUCGCUGUAGGAGUCAGGAGGGAAAGGGGGUGGGCAUGGCUGGCUGGGCAGGGAGAUCAGCUGACUCAAAUGUGUGCAGACGGAGCAAGGCAUGCCCUGGUCUCCAGCUGCUGAGGUGAGGUGAGGGAAGGGAGGGCCCUCGGGCCAGAGCAUGGAGGUCUCGAACACCUGGAGGGCCGUGGGCAAUGCACCAAGCAGUCUGGACUUUGCCCGAGCCAGCUGGACCCAGGAGGCCCAAGAAAACGAGAAAAUGCUGGCAAGGGGCAGAGGCUCUGACCAUCCCCAGGUCCACCGUAGGUCUGAGAAAUACACCCUGAAUGUAUUUAAAACUGUUUUGGACUGAGCCCCUGGUCAGUGCCGGCUCCUGUCUACACACACUGACGUGGCCCUGGAUGGAAGGUGUGAAGGGAGAGCCCUUUGGGGCUUGACAAGACAAUUCAUGAAACACCCCCACACCUGCCAUCUAUUUGCAAACACCCUGGGGCAGCUGAUGGAAACACUGGCCAGGCGGCUGCUCCUGGAACACGGAGACCUGCUCCUGUCCCUGCAGGUGGCUGCAAACUCCUCAGGUUCUGGCGCAGCAGGCACUGCCUCCCCAGAGAGAGACCUCGUUCUCCUGUCCGAACUCCUUUCUCAGCCUGAGGUGGAGCCCUAACCCUCACCCAGGCUCACCCUGGCCUGUGGGUGACCCACGUGUCCCCUUACCACUGGCGCUCCUCAGGCAGCCUGACUCCUGUCUGCAGGCAGGAAAGGCUCCUCCCAGCUGAACUGCGGAGCCAGAAAUGGAGGAAGUCACGGCGACAAUAAGAGCAAAACGAUACAGACAAAAUGUGUUACUAUUGCUGACCACUGAUGACACUUACACUGUCAACAACCCUACAGCAGGUCCCUGGCCAUGCUCCAGCAAUGUGGCAGCUCAGUUACUGCUCCCAAAAUGCCUCUGCAGCUGUCAACUCACCCCAAGGAUCUUUAUUUAUGGAACCAGGGUGCCUUCUUCAAGAAACAGAAAUGACGCUGUGUGCUGGCUGGGAAAGUUGCCUCCGGCUUCUUCUACCUUCAAGUCAGAGCCAACGGCACCUGGAGCAGGUAGAGCGAGCCAGCCAGUGAGCCUGGUGGUCAGAGCUACACUGACUUCUCCCGCAGUCUCUACAUGGCUGAGACCACAGCCCGGCUCCAGAGGUCGGCCACACAGGCCAGAUGCCUAGUAACCACGGCGUGGAACGGAGGAGAGUAUCACAACCCAACUGCCUCUGAGCUGCCCGCUGCUUCUCGGGUACCCGGGAGGUCUUGGCAAAUCACCUCCCUCAGCUCCAGCGGUGAGCCCCUGACCAAGCCCUGAGCGAUCAGAGCAUCCAAACGCCUGACCACAGUGACGGGUUCAGAGACAGGCACAUGACCUAAGUCAGACCAAUGAGAUCCAGUCCUGGGGUUUGUGUGCAAACAGCCAGAAAAGAGACAUUACCUUCCCACGGAGGGCUCUGAAGCUGACUGGGUGGAAGCCUGAUCCUCAGGUGGGAUCAAGUGGAGCAAGUGCCUGAGACGAAGGCAGCUCAGAGGACAGCAAUGCUAAGCUGCUAAGCGGUGAGGAGAAAGGCAGAGUCCUAAUGAUCUUGUUUGAAGCUCUGGAUCCGGCCAUAUCUGAGGCCAGUGGCACCCUUGAGCUUUCCAGUUUCAUCAGCCAACUAAUUCUCCUUUUGCCUGAGCCAGUCUGAGAUGGGUUUCUGUCACUCACAACCAAGAGUCCUGGAUAAGGACUCCCAGAUUCCUAAGUUACCUGUGGUUUACCAGAAUGUCUAGGAAGGUUACUUGCUGGGGCGCAAGGCAGUAGUGACUUGCUCAAGGUCGUGAAACUGCUUCGUGAGAGAGCGGAGACCAGAACUCAGGCUGCUUGGCUUGCAGACAGUUUUCCAUAUGACAUCCUGCCUCUUCUCCUGUCUAGGGGUCUGGCAUUGGCCCCAACCAAAGCUACCCUAAAGCCAACAUAUGGAGUGAGAUGCUCACUUAGCAACACCCACCCCACUCUCAAGCCAUGGCAGGGUCCAAACCCCAGACAAGCAGAGGUGAAAAGAGAGCUGCCCCAUAGCACUCAGAGCAGAGGCUGUCUCCAGCCUGAAGGUGGAUUUUUCACCUGCACUUGAAUCUGGAGUCAGUGGGGAACCAGAGAGAAGGGAAAAGAGAAGAGUCCCGAGGGGUCGUCUCUAGUUUGUCCCUUGACUCAGCUGCUGCCACUGGGGAGUCAGCCUCAAGGACUCACACACCAGUUACCGUGCCUGCUGACUUUGCUGGCGAAGCACUCUCUGUCCUUGGACCUACACACUGGGCUGGGGAGGGAUGGUUUGCCCCAAAUUACAGAGCAUAACUGCCCACAGUGAUAACUAUCUGCCUGGCUCCCGUGCUCAAUGUCAUGAUGUUGAGAGUGCGGCUGGAAAUCCUGAGAAUAAGCUUUUCUCCUUUGUUGGCUAACCUCUCCUUAUUGUUGUCAUUUCCUUGUAUUGUGGUUUGGGAAUAUAGUCUAUAUAUGAUAGUCAUUCUUUAAUGUUUGUUGAGACUAGCUUUGGGCCAGUAAGUGAUCAAUUUUUGUAAAUGUUCCCCAUAUGCAUGAAAAAUAUGUAUUUAAAUGACAAAUUCAAGGUUAGUAUUCUCUAUGUAUUCAUCCUACCAAGGCUGAUAAAGAUGACAUUCAAAC